rnacentral:lncRNA from 1 species
GGGCACAGAAGAUUUGUGGGGAUAAUGGGGAAAUCCGGGGGGGGAGGAAUGGGAUUUUGGGGGGGGGGGGGGGGGGGAGGGUCCAAAAACCUCCAUUGAGAAUGGGGGUAAAAAAAAAAAAGGUUAAAAAGAGCCAUUUUUGGGGGGGUGAAAAGUCUUUAUUGCCACCCCCACCCCACUGCAGCGCCACCAUUGGGCCACCACUGCGGGGCCGCCAUUUUGGGGCCGCCAUUUUGUCCCCCAUUCAUCUCCAUUGGCUCCAUUUCGCCCCCCAUUCAUUCAUUCCAAUGCCAUUUUGUCCCCCAUUCAUUCCAAUGCCGCCAUUUUGUCCCCCAUUCAUUUCCACUGACUCCAUUUUGUCCCCCAUUCAUUCAUUCCAAUGCCAUUUUGUCCCCCAUUCAUUUCCAUUGACGCCAUUUUCUCCUCCAUUCAUCUCCAUUGACUCUGUUUUGCCCCCCGUUCAUUUCAAUGCCACCAUUUUGUCCCCCAUUCAUCUCCAUUGACUCCAUUUUGUCCCCCAUUCAUUCAUUCCAAUGCCAUUUUGUCCCCCAUUCAUUCCAAUGCUGCCAUUUUGUCCCCCAUUCAUUUCCACUGACUCCAUUUUGUCCCCCAUUCAUUCAUUCCAAUGCCAUUUUGUCCCCCAUUCAUUUCCAUUGACGCCAUUUUCUCCUCCAUUCAUCUCCAUUGACUCUGUUUUGCCCCCCGUUCAUUUCAAUGCCACCAUUUUGUCCCCCAUUCAUCUCCAUUGACUCCAUUUCAUCCCCCAUUCAUUCAUUCCAAUGCCAUUUUGUCCCCCAUUCAUUCCAAUGCCACCAUUUUGCCCCUCAUUCAUUUCCAUUGACGCCAUUUUCUCCUCCAUUCAUCUCCACUGAUUCCAUUUUGUCCUCCAUUCAUCUCCACUGCCACCAUUUUGCCCCCCAUUCAUCUCCAUUGACACCAUUUUGUCCCCCAUUCACUCCAAUGUUACCACUUUGUAACCCAUUCAUGCUGCCAUUUUGUCCCCCAUUCAUUCCAAUGUCAUCACUUUGCCCCCCAUUCAUUUCCAUGGACUCCAUUUUGCCCCCCAUUCAUUCCAAUGCCGCCAUUUUGUCCCCCAUUCAUUUCCAUUGACUCCAUUUUGCCCCCCAUUCAUUUCAAUGCCACCGUUUAAUCCCCAUUCAUCUCUACUGACUCCAUUUCUUCCCCCAUUCAUCUCCACUGCCACCAUUUUGCCCCCCAUUCAUCUCCAUUGACUCCAUUUUGUCCACCAUUCAUUCCAAUGCCACCACUUUUAUCACCCAUCCAUUCCAAUACCUCCAUUUUGUCCCCCAUCCAUUCAUUCCAACGCCACCACUUUGUCCCCAUUCAUCUCCAUUGACUCCAUUUUGUCCCCCAUUCAUUCCAACGCCGCCAUUUUGUCCCCCAUUCAUUUCCAUUGACUCCAUUUUGUCCCCCAUUCAUUCCAAUGUCAUCACUUUGCCCCCCAUUCAUUUCCAUUGACUCCAUUUCGUCCCCCAUUCAUUCCAAUGCCGCCAUUUUGUCCCCCAUUCACUUCCAUUGAUGCCAUUUUCUCCUCCAUUCAUCUCCAUUGACUCUGUUUUGCCCCCCAUUCAUCUCCACUGAUUCCAUUUCGUCCCCCAUUCAUUUCCACUGCCACCAUUUUGUCCCCCAUUCAUUUCAAUGCCACCAUUUUGCCCCCCAUUCAUCUCCAUUGACUCCAUUUUGUCCCCCAUUCAUCUCCACUGCCACCAUUUUGCCCCCCAUUCAUCUCCAUUGACUCCAUUUUGUCCCCCAUUCAUUCCAACGCCACCAUUUUGUCCCCCAUUCAUUUCCAUUGACUCCAUUUUGUCCCCCAUUCGUUUCAAUGCCACCAUUUUGCCCCCCAUUCAUCUCCAUUGACUCCAUUUUGUCCCCCAUUCAUCCAUUCCAAUGCCAUUUUGCCCCCCAUUCAUUCCAAUGUCACCACUUUGUCCCCCAUUCAUUUCCAUGCCACCGUUCUCUCCUCCAUUCAUCUCCAUUGACUCCAUUUUGUCCCCCAUCCCUUCCACUGCCACCACUGUCCCCCCAUUGACGCCCCCAUCCUACCCACGUCUCACCACUCCGCCACCGUCCCGUUGUCCCCAACGCCUCCAC